rnacentral:rRNA from 1 species
AUUGAACGCUGGCGGCAGGCCUAACACAUGCAAGUCGAGCGAGCGGCGGACGGGUGAGUAAUGUAUGGGGACUGCCCGAGCGAGGGGGAUAAAUACUGGAAACGGUGGCUAAUACCGCAUACUAUCGGAUAACACAUAUGGGAUUAGCUAGUAGGUGGUGUAAAGGCUCCCCUAGGCGACGAUCUCGAGCUGGUCUGAGAGGAUGACCAGCCACACGGGAACUCAGACACGUUCCAGACUCCUCCGGCGGCAGAAGUGGUGAAUAGUGCACAAUGGGCGCAAGCCUGAUGCAGCCAUGCCGCGUGUGUGAAGAAGGCCUGCGGGUUUUAAAGCACUUUCAGCGAGGAGGCGUUACUCGCAGAAGAAGCACCGGCUAACUCCGUGCCAGCAGCCGCGGUAAUAC